GUAAUACAUCGGAACGUACCCAGUAGCGGGGGAUAGCCCGGCGAAAGCCGGAUUAAUACCGCAUACGCCCUACGGGGGAAAGGGGGGGAUCUUCGGACCUCUCACUAUUGGAGCGGCCGAUGGCUGAUUAGCUAGUUGGUGGGGUAAAGGCCUACCAAGGCGACGAUCAGUAGCUGGUCUGAGAGGACGACCAGCCACACUGGGACUGAGACACGGCCCAGACUCCUACGGGAGGCAGCAGUGGGGAAUUUUGGACAAUGGGCGAAAGCCUGAUCCAGCAAUGCCGCGUGUGCGAAGAAGGCCUUCGGGUUGUAAAGCACUUUUGUCAGGAAAGAAAGGGUCUGGGCUAAUACCCCGGGCCAUUGACGGUACCUGAAGAAUAAGCACCGGCUAACUACGUGCCAGCAGCCGCGGUAAUACGUAGGGUGCAAGCGUUAAUCGGAAUUACUGGGCGUAAAGCGUGCGCAGGUGGUUUGUUAAGACAGUUGUGAAAUCUCCGGGCUCAACCUGGGAACUGCAAUUGUGACUGGCAGACUAGAGUUUGGCAGAGGGGGGUGGAAUUCCUGGUGUAGCAGUGAAAUGCGUAGAUAUCAGGAGGAACACCGAUGGCGAAGGCAGCCCCCUGGGCCAUGACUGACACUCAUGCA
rnacentral:rRNA from 1 species